AAUGGUUGCAGUUCUACAUGUAGAAAUUCUAACUAUUUUGACAUCAGAGAACAAACUUUAAGCGUGGAAGAAAACAACAACAAAUGCUGCGUCACCUGUCACCAAGUAGUUCAUAAUGAGCCUGUUCAUGUCGGCUCUCUGAAUAUGGACAUUGUUAAGUUUUUCCAUCCACUCUUCUCUUGUUACAUCCUCUGGCUUCUCUGCAUAACUCAUUGUGAUCCUAAAGGUAAAAAGAACAGUUACAUUGUCGUUAAGCAGAUACGUAUACACGAAUAUAACAGAUACAUAUCAGCCUGUUAUGAACGCGUCGGUAAUUGAAUGUUCAGUUUGACAGCAGCGGAUACACACAUACACACACACACACACAUUAGCGGCCUUCGGUAAAAAACAACAACACUGAAGCCUCGCUUUCGCCAACACGGAUAAAAACAACGACGAGUUGGCGGUCCUUUUGUGCAUAUAUCAAAAAGUCGAACCCGGCACUCCACUCAUUUAUUACACACUAUUGUACUGUAUGUCAAACACAACCGUAACUGUCACUUUACCUGACAAUUGUGUCGCUACUUCCCUGCAGUAGCUAGCUAGCUAGCGGAGCUGCCGUUUCCGCUGACUGUUUCCGGAGUUGUGCCCCCCCCCCGCAGACCGGCAGACCACUGCACGACACACCCCCUCACACUACACGACACACCUACUCAACUCUGAUUGGGUCACAGAAGAGACUGCCUCUGAAACGUGAUGACGUCUACGCUGGUGAAGAAGAAGGAUGAAGAGAGAGAACCAAGAGUUUUUCGGAGUCAUUUAUUUUUUGGUCUGUUUCUCAGAGUCAUUUAUUUUCUGAGUUUAGAGAGCAUUUGAAACAAUAAAAGCAUUCAUUCCUUUAUUGAGAUUUCGAUUUAUAACUAAAUGGACGUGUUGUUUAGUUUAAUCAAGGGCGAAUAGAGAACUUUUGGGGCUUUUUAAGGAGGCAACACGCACAGUUCUGGAUGAACCUGUUCCAGGAUUUAAAAGACUCAGACUCUUUUUCUGGUGACUUCCUGGACAAAAGUCUCAUUCAGUUCACAUGUCUUGAAAUAAUAGAGAGCUGCAGGAAGUUGUUCACCUCUGGAACACUCACAGAAUUCGCCCAUGCAGAAAUGCUGUGUCUCCAGGUGGGCGCCCAGUGAGGAUAAGUAAAUCUGGUGAAACAGAGUGUUCACCAAAUAUGACUGCUGCUGUAAAGGCUUGUGCCAGCCGAAAUGGAAAAUACCCAUGGUCCUUCAGUCCCUUGGCCAAUAUCCUGCCGACAGACUUCCAUUCCUCCUCUUGCCAUUUUGGGGCGAGUGAUGGCACCCUCACAUCUGCACCUUCUGCUGCACAGUCUAGGAAUUCUGUCCAGAAGGCAGCGUAAACAUUCCUGGACACACCAUCAGCAUCUGCCCCCAUUUCAUCAAUGAAGCUGUAUUUCACAGAGUAGGUCAUCAUUGCGUCAUCCUUGAAUUGGGCAAUCAGUUCAUCUAAGAGUUACAGUCACAUGUAAAAGUUCAUUGGUAGGACUUGGUGGUCUAGCAGAAGCUGUCUCAGCAUCAAUAGGAGUUGAGGUGCUUCUAUUGCAAUGAUUGGCUCAUGUAUGGGUGUAUCAUGAUGAUCCCAUAUAAACGGCCCACCUGUCAAAGGACCAAAAAUAACCUCUGAUGUAUUACACAAAGAUGUUAGAUCAAUAAUCUGAACAGCUGCAGUAGAAACAAGAGCUGACAUUGUGGCAGUGCUUAUCUCAUCAUCUUGGACUGUGUGUGUUUGAUUUUCACUGUUAUGUCUUCUCUGUGUCAGCUGCUCGACCUCUUCCAUUGUGAGUUUCUCUUGUCUGUUCUAUUCUGUUGUGUUUUCAUGUUGCUCAUCUGUCUCUGUCUGUAUCAGCUCCUUCCUCUGGGUCAUCUCCACUGGUCAGGGUCUUUGUGAACAAAUAAAAUCUUAACAACCCCAAUUUGUGUGUCUCCCACACUAACAUCGUCAUCAACUUGUGCUUCCUGAAAGUCAACUGUAUCGUGACUGAACUCUUCCCACUUUCCCAUCACUGACUUUUCAUGUUUAGCUUGUGACAGAAUCUUAGUUUUAGUGGCAUUCUUGUUAAUAUCAAGAACUCUGGUUCCUCCACCGCUGCGUUUUCUGACUUGUUUAUUGUCAUGUAUCCACCCUAUUUCUUUUUUCUGCUUGUCUUCCAGGCUCUCCUAUUAUUUUUAGACGCAUUUUUGUUGGUUGCACUGUAUUCUCCCCCUCAAAACAUUGAUCGCUGUCUUUGUUGCUCAUUGUGCCCAAGUUUUUUGAAUAAGGACAGUGUUUUUGUAUCAUGUCCACCGCUUCUCUGUUUUUCCGUACAGAAACGCCUUGUGGCAAUCCGGUCACCAUAGGCUGGAAUGUAAGAGGCCAUGGUGGCAUCAUCUAUUUCUCCAAUUAUUGAGCUGUCAAUCUGCAAUAAAAAUAAAAUUAUACAUAAUUAUCACAUUAUGUCUCUAUAGUGUUAGCGUAUAUUUAGCAUAUAACCUGACAUUAUAGCGAAUGGCUCGUUCGACUUGUGCCAAGCCGAUACACUGAAAGAAAGGCGAUUCAUUUUUGAUGAGAAACAAUGACAGCAAAAUGGAAACAAAACAGUUAGCUUACCUGACAUCUGAAAUCAUGCCCAUAAACAUGUUCGUCUAUUCCUUACCUGCUACAUUUAGUGAUAGGCUUACAAUAGAAGGAUACAGUCUAAAACAUAACUAACUAGAGCAUCGUGGCCUGUGUGUAACUUAUUACAUGCAUUACCUUAAUUGACCCGGUAAGGUAGAUAGUUGAUGGGGCAUGUAUAUGCGGGCAGGACUCACCAUAGGUCUAUGGGAGUCACUUGCAGGUUGGAGGUUCUCACGAGAGUUCCCGAUAAUUCAGAAAAUAAAUUACUCCGAAAAACAGGACAAUAAUUACUCAAAAAAACAGACAGAAAAACAGGAAAAAAAUGAAUUACUCAGAAAAGGUUGUUUUUUUUAUCUGUUUUUUAAUCUUUAAAUGACUCUGAGAAGUUGCACACAGUUUGCUAAUUUGAAAAAUUGUGACCUCAGUUCUACAAUUGUUAAGAUAAAAUAUUUGAUGAUGAAUAAUAUUUUUCAUGUUUAGAAAUAAAAAGUUCUGUUGAU